UAUCUGAUUGCUUUAAAAAACUUUAUUUCACGAAAACUGCAGUAGCAAUUUACAUUUCUCUUACACUUCACAGAGUGGUUUCUAGACAUAAUCCAACUACCUUUCACUUAUAAUCUGCCUCGAGGUAGGCAGAUGCGCUUACAUAUUGAAAACAUAAGCCUUGGAGGUCGUGGACACUAAGGCACUUACUGAAGUUACAGGGCAGAUCGCUUUGAAAAGUCAGACCACACAUUGGGUUAUGAUAUUCAUCUUUCAGAAAGUUAGCAGACAUUCUAAUGUAAUAUUUUUAAAUGAAUGGAAGAUCACUUAGAAACUUUUAUGCCUUAGAAUAAAAUUCAUUUUAAGCAAAUUUAUAACUGUGAUUUUGAGAAUAAUCUAAUCUUCCAGAAGGCCUGUAAUACAGCACAUGUAACAUCCUAGUGAAUGAACAGGAAAGUCAUACUCUUAAGCACCAGUUUUUGAGGUGCAAGAGAGAUUAAAUGCAGGGCCAUAUGUAUUGCUUUACUAUUGAGCUACAGCCCCAACCCCUAUACUUCAUUUAAUGUAGCGGGCACUUCCCACAGAUUACUGCAUCAGGCAUCAUAUAUCACAAUAAUAUAAGGUUUCCCAGCUUGGUAACAUGAACACUUUGGAAGGCAUGAUUUUUUGUUGUGGGAGAUUGUUUUGUGCAUUAUAGAAUGUUGAGUAACUUCCUUGGCCUCUACUCACUAGAUUCCAGUAGCAACACCUCAGUAAUGUCAAGUAAAAACAGUCUCCAAAUAUUGUAAACAUUCAGAUGAGAAGGUAAGCAAAAUAAUUUCUUGUUGAGAAUCAUGGCUGUGAUUUCACUAACUACCUGAGACAAAUGGUAAGACAGAGGUUAAUUAUCAUCUCCUCAAUAAAUUUAGCACUAACACUAGACCUUGAAAAGCUAAGAUUAGAAUGAAGUUUCUAGAACCUAAUGUGAACAAAGAGUUAGUGAGAAGACUCCCUUUCCCUGACUUUUAGGGUCACAACUAAUCUUAGCAAGAGAGAGAGAGAGAAAUCUCAAUAUAAAACUAAAAUGUCUUUUCUGUGUUUUGGUAAUGACUAACACAUGUAAAGAUACCAGAGCUACCAUCAAGUGGAAGACGUUAAGAAGAAAAAUCUUAUUUUUGUAGCAUUGGAUAAAAAACAAAACAGCAAAAAUGAAUACAGAGAAAUUUUUAUAUCUUCCUAUGGAGUAGCAAUUCUUGAAUAAAAAUAGUAACUGGUAGUCUGAUAUUUUUAUAUCUCCUCUUUAGAAGUUCAUGCAAACCUGCUGGAUAUGGUGGUACACAUCUAUAAUUCCAGCACUAAGGAGGCUGAAGCAGGAGGAUUUCCACGAGUUUGAUGCCACCCCAGGUUACCUAGUUUGAGUCUAUGGUUGACUGGCUCCAAGGCAGGAACAUCAGUGAAAGGAUGUGUGGAACAAAGCUGCUGAAUUCACGUUGGCCAGGAAGUAAAACAGGAGAACAACGCCAUAGAGGAAGUGGUGAGGAGUUAGACAUAGACUUCAAAGCCACACUUCCAUCAUCCACCUAGAUACGCCCAAAGGUGUGCUCCAUCGGCUCCCUGGGAGGUUCACAGAACCAAUGAAGUCAACGCUUUUCCCUAUCCACCUCCCAGCCUCUGCUUACAGUUUCUAGCAAUGGAAAUACUAAUGUGGGACUUCCUUCAAACUGCUCCGCCGCACGCUACUCUCAGAUGGGAACAGCACGGAGUCGGUUUAUGGGAGGAGACCAGGAACAUCGGGGGAAGAGAGAAGUCAAGUGUCACUGAACACAGAGAGAUGGUCUGAAAAAUGUGUCAUUGCAUAAUAAAUAAUGGUCUUCAUCUCCUAGGACCAAAUGGAGAUUAAAUCAGAACAAGAAAAAUAAUACAAUCAAGUGGUGUGACACACACAGAUUCACGAGAGCUAUGUGUGUUGGGAAUUCUCUUCUGAAGAGAGAUGAGGCAGCAGCUAAGAUCCAACAGUGCUCUAGAAAGUCUUUGCUCCAUGAAUUUCAGUUCUUAGGAGGUGCUGAGCCAUAAUUUGGAAGCGCUAUUCAAAACGCCAUGGGGAACACGCUGUGUAAACUCUUGUCAAUCUUUCACUAAAAUGGAAGAGCCCUGAAAACAUCAUACCAUAGCUAUAUAUGCACGCCCAUGUUUAUACAAGCACAAUUUGUAAUAGCUAAAUCUUCGAAACAAAACAAAUUCCCAACAACUAAAGAAGAUGUAGCUUAUUAUACAAUGGAGGACAACUAUGCAAUAGCAAAGGAUAAACUUGAGACAUGUAUAGUUAAGGUCCAAGGGCUCAGACUCGUGAUCAGCUUCAAGAUCUUUGAGGACAACCACCGCAGAAGUCUAUGACAAAAAUCUACAUAACAAAUGAACAUAUGAAAAAAUAUUCAACAUCACUGGUCAUUUGAGAGGCGCAGAUAAAAAAGAACAUUGAGAUUCCAUCUGACCCUGGAAAGAGUAGCUGCUAUUCAAGAAAACAACCAAUAACAAAUGCUGGCAGGGACGUGGAGAAAAAUGAACCCUUCU